rnacentral:rRNA from 1 species
UACGGGAGGCAGCAGUGAGGAAUAUUGGUCAAUGGCCGAGAGGCUGAACCAGCCAUGCCGCGUGCGGGAGGACGGCCCUAUGGGUUGUAAACCGCUUUUUUGUGGGAGCAAUAAGGGUCACGUGUGGCCUGAUGAGAGUACCAUGAGAAUAAGCAUCGGCUAACUCCGUGCCAGCAGCCGCGGUAAU